AUUCAUUUGCCAAGCGGGUCUCUUCCGAGAGCCCUUCAUCUCUGCAGAGCCCAGCCUCCUGCCCCCAUCUGCAGGAGGGACCGCUCCAAGUUGAUCUACCAGGUGUGCCUGAAUAAGGCUCAGAGUGGCUGAAGAUAAAGAAGCCUGGGUGGGAGUUGGUAUUUUUGGAAAGGCAGUUCAUCAGCCCACAGCAACAUCUGGCUUGUACCCCUCUGCGCUGAGGAGAGGAUAGCAGGGAAAGUGGUGUGUCUACCUCUGGACUGGCAUAAGGAACAGCUCCAAUCUUCUGCCUGGACCAGAGGCGUUUUCAGCCCAGAGUGACUUCUGAGGUCACAGUCAAAGCUUGGAGAGGCUUUUUGGACCCUGGGGACAGGGCUGGAGUGGGAAACAGCUGUCUCCCCCUGGCUCUCUACAGCAAAGUCCCUGAUUCUACAUGACCUGGCCUGGAGCUGGGUCAUUCAAUUUGACAAGACCAAGACUACCAUCCUGGAUUUUAUUUCUGCCAAUUGGUGUGCUGAUUGUCAGGACCAAAUCCCUCAAUAAGCCAAAGCCAGUAUUUAAAAUUCUUAAAUGAAAAACAAAAAUCCACCGUACCUCCCGUCUCUUAAUUGCCUUCUGAAAGCAGGAGCGAUACAGCUUGUGUAUAACUUUCAAUUAACAGAACAACGAGCUCACACACAGCAAUUUAUCAAGCAAAAUGAUUGUUCCAAAGCAACUGCUGCAAGAGGAAAAAACAACCCUGGAUGGACAUUUUAAUUUCAAUUAAAAGGAGAAUUAUGCAUAAUCUAGAAAUGGCACAAAGGACAGCUAAACCACCACCUGGCCCAGAAAAUCCUCUCCAGCUAAGAGUGACUAUUAUUGAAGUGUGUCAUUGAAAGAGGGCCAGGCUGAGUGCAGAGAAGAUGUCUGGGGGUGGUGCAUGGAAAACAAAGGAUUAGGGAAGAUUAAGCCUUUUGUGAACAAGAGAGGUGAAAUGGAAAACACUUACCUGUCGCUGGCAUUUCUAAUUAAACUGGCACAGCGCUAGCUG